UACGGAGGGGGCAAGCGUUAUUCGGAAUUAUUGGGCGUAAAGGGCGCGUAGGCGGCUAGAUGUGUCAGAGGUGAAAUCCCUCGGCUCAACUGAGGAACUGCCUUUGAAACUGUCUGGCUUGAGGCCGGGAGAGGGUAGCGGAAUUCCCAGUGUAGCGGUGAAAUGCGUAGAUAUCUGGAGGAACACCGGUGGCGAAGGCGGCAUCCUGGACCGGCAUUGACGCUGAGGCGCGAAAGCCAGGGGAGCAAACGGG
rnacentral:rRNA from 1 species